ensembl:misc_RNA Metazoa_SRP Metazoan signal recognition particle RNA
GCCAGGCAUGGUGGCGCAUGCCUGUAAUCCCAGCUACUUGGGAGGCUGAGGCAGGAGAAUUGCUUGAACCCGGGAGGCAGAGGUUGCAGUGAGCUGAGAUCGUGCCAUUGCACUCCAGCCUGGGCAACAGGGCAAGACUCCGUCUCAA